GGAUGAACGCUGGCGGCGUGCCUAAUACAUGCAAGUCGAGCGAACGGACGAGAAGCUUGCUUUUCUGAUGUUAGCGGCGGACGGGUGAGUAACACGUGGAUAACCUACCUAUAAGACUGGGAUAACUUCGGGAAACCGGAGCUAAUACCGGAUAAUAUUUUGAACCGCAUGGUUCAAAAGUGAAAGACGGUCUUGCUGUCACUUAUAGAUGGAUCCGCGCUUCAUUAGCUAGUUGGUAAGGUAACGGCUUACCAAGGCAACGAUGCAUAGCCGACCUGAGAGGGUGAUCGGCCACACUGGAACUGAGACACGGUCCAGACUCCUACGGGAGGCAGCAGUAGGGAAUCUUCCGCAAUGGGCGAAAGCCUGACGGAGCAACGCCGCGUGAGUGAUGAAGGUCUUCGGAUCGUAAAACUCUGUUAUUAGGGAAGAACAUAUGUGUAAGUAACUGUGCACAUCUUGACGGUACCUAAUCAGAAAGCCACGGCUAACUACGUG
rnacentral:rRNA from 1 species